UACGUAGGGCGCAAGCGUUGUCCGGAAUUAUUGGGCGUAAAGAGCUCGUAGGCGGCCUGUCGCGUCCGCUGUGAAAUCCCGGGGCUUAACCCCGGGCGUGCAGUGGAUACGGGCUGGCUGGAGGCAGGCAGGGGAGAACGGAAUUCCCGGUGUAGCGGUGAAAUGCGCAGAUAUCGGGAGGAACACCGGUGGCGAAGGCGGCUACCUGGACCGGUUCUGACGCUGAGGCGCGAAAGCGUGGGUAGCAAACAGG
rnacentral:rRNA from 1 species